rnacentral:rRNA from 1 species
UACGGAGGGGGCAAGCGUUGUUCGGAUUUACUGGGCGUAAAGGGUGUGUAGGCGGCUGGAUAAGUCUGGUGUGAAAUCUUCACCGCUCAACGGGAAGGGGUCACUGGAAACUGUUCAGCUUGAGAAUGGUAGAGGCAAGCGGAAUUCCUGGUGUAGCGGUGAAAUGCGCAGAUAUCAGGAGGAACACCAAUGGCGAAGGCAGCUCACUGGGACGGUAUUGACGCUGAGACGCGAAAGCGUGGGGAGCAAACAGG